rnacentral:tRNA from 1 species
AACAAAAAAAAUUGAAUUAAAAAGGAUUUCUAACCCUUUUAUAGCAGUUAAAAUCUGUUAUUUUGUUU